GUGCCAGCAGCCGCGGUAAUACGAGAGGUGCAAGCGUUAAUCGGAAUCACUGGGCGUAAAGGGCGCGUAGGCGGCGCAUUCAGUCGGCUGUGAAAGCCCCGGGCUCAACCUGGGGAUGGCAACCGAUACUGACGUGCUUGAGUGCAGUAGAGGGAGGUAGAAUUCCAGGUGUAGCGGUGAAAUGCGUAGAGAUCUGGAGGAAUACCAGUGGCGAAGGCACCGCACGG
rnacentral:rRNA from 1 species